AACGAACGCUGGCGGCAGGCCUAACACAUGCAAGUCGAGCGAAGCCUUCGGGCUUAGCGGCGGACGGGUGAGUUACGCGUGGGAACGUGCCCUUUGGUACGGAAUAGCCCCGGGAAACUGGGAGCAAUACCGUAUGUGGUCGAGAGACGAAAGAUUUAUCGCCAAAGGAUCGGCCCGCGUUGGAUUAGGUAGUUGGUGGGGUAAUGGCCUACCAAGCCGACGAUCCAUAGCUGGUUUGAGAGGAUGAUCAGCCACACUGGGACUGAGACACGGCCCAGACUCCUACGGGAGGCAGCAGUGGGGAAUCUUAGACAAUGGGGGAAACCCUGAUCUAGCCAUGCCGCGUGAUCGAUGAAGGCCUUAGGGUUGUAAAGAUCUUUCAGUGGGGAAGAUAAUGACUGUACCCACAGAAGAAGCCCCGGCUAACUCCGUGCCAGCAGCCGCCGUAAUAC
rnacentral:rRNA from 1 species